GGCUCAGGAUGAACGCUAGCGGCAAGGCUUAACACAUGCAAAUCGUGGGGCAGCGCGAGGUAGCAAUACUUUGGCCGGCGACCGGCAAACGGGUGCGGAACACGUACGCAACCUUCCUCAGAGCGGGGAAUAGCCUCUCGAAAGAGAGAUUAAUACCCCCAUAGUAUCUCGAAACUGCAUGGUUUUGAGAUUAAAGCUUCGGCACUUUGAGAUGGGCGUGCGGCUGAUUAGGUAGUUGGUAGGGUAACGGCAUACCAAGCCAACGAUCAGUAGCUGAUGUGAGAGCAUGAUCAGCCACACGGGCACUGAGACACGGGCCCGACUCCUACGGGAGGCAGCAGUGAGGAAUAUUGGUCAAUGGAGGAAACUCUGAACCAGCCAUGCCCGCGUGAAGGAUGAAGGUCCUCUGGAUUGUAAACUUCUUUUAUAGAAGAAGAAACCCCAUUAUUCUUAAUGGGUUGACGGUACUCUAUGAAUAAGCACCGGCUAACUCCGUG
rnacentral:rRNA from 1 species